AGAGUUUGAUCAUGGCUCAGAGCGAACGCUGGCGGCGUGCCUAACACAUGCAAGUCGAACGUGAAAGGGAGCAAUCCCAAGUAAAGUGGCGUACGGGUGAGUAACGCGUAGGUAAUCUACCCCCAAAAUCUGGAAUAACCUGCCGAAAGGCGGGCUAAUACUGGAUAGAGCGAUGGAAUCCGUAAUUGGGUUUUUCGGGAAAGGGAGGGAGCAAUCCCCUUCGUUUUGGGAUGAGCCUGCGUCUCAUUAGCUAGUUGGUGGGGUAAUGGCCCACCAAGGCAGUGAUGGGUAGCUGGUCUGAGAGGAUGAUCAGCCACACUGGAACUGAAACACGGUCCAGACUCCUACGGGAGGCAGCAGUGGGGAAUCUUGCGCAAUGGACGAAAGUCUGACGCAGCCACGCCGCGUGAGUGAAGAAGGCCUUCGGGUUGUAAAGCUCUGUCGAGCGGGACGAAAAUUUUCUGGGUGAAUAGCCCAGGGAACUGACGGUACCGCUAAAGGAAGCACCGGCUAACUCCGUGCCAGCAGCCGCGGUAAUACGGAGGGUGCAAGCGUUGCUCGGAAUUAUUGGGCGUAAAGGGUAGGUAGGUGGUCUCAUUUGUCUGGGGUGAAAGCCUUGAGCUUAACUCAAGAAGUGCCCCAGAAACGGUGAGACUGGAGUCCUGGAGAGGGUCGUGGAAUUCCCGGUGUAGCGGUGAAAUGCGUAGAGAUCGGGAGGAACACCAGAGGCGAAAGCGGCGACCUGGACAGGUACUGACACUCAACUACGAAAGCGUGGGGAGCAAACAGGAUUAGAUACCCUAGUAGUCC
rnacentral:rRNA from 1 species